GAUGAACGCUGGCGGCGUGCCUAACACAUGCAAGUCGAGAGAGAAACUUUGGAUUGAUCCUUCGGGUGAAAGAAAAAGUGGACAGCGGCGGACGGGUGAGUAACGCGUGGGAAACCUGCCCUAUACAAGGGGAUAGCCUCGGGAAACCGGGAUUAAUACCCUACAAAACUCUAGCACCGCAUGGUGCAUGAGUCAAAACUCCGGUGGUAUAGGAUGGUCCCGCGUCCCAUUAGCUAGUUGGUGAGGUAAAAGCUCACCAAGGCGAUGAUGGGUAGCCGGCCUGAGAGGGUGAACGGCCACACUGGAACUGAGACACGGUCCAGACUCCUACGGGAGGCAGCAGUGGGGAAUAUUGCACAAUGGGGGAAACCCUGAUGCAGCGACGCCGCGUGAGUGAUGAAGGCUUUCGGGUCGUAAAGCUCUGUCCUAAGGGAAGAUAAUGACGGUACCUUAGGAGGAAGCCCCGGCUAACUACGUGCCAGCCGCCGCCGUAAGAC
rnacentral:rRNA from 1 species